UUAAGAAAGAGAAUAUAAAUGUUGUUAGGCCUAAUUACAAGAAAAUCGGCCAAAAAACCCUACAAGCUUCCAAUCUUUUGAUCCAAUAUUAGGUAAAUAAAGAACUAAAGAUGGCAACCCAAAAAUUUGCAAGAAAUGGCCCAAAUUCCAUGGGUAACCCAUGGCCAACCCAUGGCCAAAGCAUGCCGCACAUAUGAGCAUCUUAACUCACAUGUGUGGGCUAGGAAUCAUGGGAGAAAGGGAACCCAGACAUGCGAGAUUCUCCCAAUCGUGAGGAGAAUCCACAUGCAAUGCUUUAUCUUCCUCCAAGUUGAUUACAUGAGUCCUUUUUGGACUUAACUGUGCGACAAUAAGAAGAAGAGAUCAACAAAACAACACGAGGAGAAUGCUAGAGCAAGAGGAGCUUGCGAGAAAAUAAAU
rnacentral:lncRNA from 1 species